rnacentral:rRNA from 1 species
GACAGAGGGUGCAAACGUUGUUCGGAAUUACUGGGCGUAAAGCGCGUGUAGGCGGCCCUGUAAGUCGGGUGUGAAAUCCCACGGCUCAACCGUGGAAGUGCACUCGAAACUACAGGGCUAGAGUCCUGGAGAGGAAGGUGGAAUGCUUGGUGUAGAGGUGAAAUUCGUAGAUAUCAAGCGGAACACCGGUGGCGAAGGCGGCCUUCUGGACAGUGACUGACGCUGAGACGCGAAAGCGUGGGGGAGCAAACAGGG